rnacentral:tRNA from 1 species
GGGGCCGUGGCCUAGCAAGCCCUAUCAGGGCCUAGAGAGGUAUGGCGGCCGGCUCCAGACCGGCAGGUCCCGGGUUCGAGUCCCGGCGGCCCCACCA